GACAUAGGUCGCAAACGUUAUCCGGAAUUAUUGGGCGUAAAGGAUGCGUAGAUGGUUCAGUAAGUUACUGGUGGGAAAUCGAGGCCCAACCUCGUGGAAGUUAGUAAUACUGUUGAACUUGAGUGCAGGAGAGGUUAACGGAACUUCAUGUGGAGCGGUAAAAUGCGUAGAUAUAUGAAAGAACAUCAAUAUGGCGAAGGCAGUUAGCUAUUCUUCUACUGACAUUGAGGCAUGAAAGCGUGGGGAGCAAAACGG
rnacentral:rRNA from 1 species